UACGAAGGGGGCUAGCGUUGCUCGGAAUUACUGGGCGUAAAGGGCGCGUAGGCGGCACUGUUAGUCAGGCGUGAAAGUCCUGGGCUCAACCUGGGAACUGCGCUUGAUACGGCAGAGCUAGAGGAUGGAAGAGGGUCGCGGAAUUCCCAGUGUAGAGGUGAAAUUCGUAGAUAUUGGGAAGAACACCGGUGGCGAAGGCGGCUAUCUGGACCGACAUUGACGCUGAGGCGCGAAAGCGUGGGGAGCAAACAGG
rnacentral:rRNA from 1 species